AAGCAGGGCGGCCUCAGGGCCCAGAUGGCCGCUUUCCCCCCUCGGUUGAAGAAGGAAGCAAAGCUGCAGCGGUGGACAAGUUACUGGCAGGAGACGAGAUCGUGGGCAUCAAUGACAUCGGCCUCUCGGGGUUCAGACAGGAAGCGAUUUGCCUGGUGAAGGGGUCCCAUAAGACCCUGAAGCUGGUGGUAAAAAGGAGGAACGAGCUGAGCUGGAGGCCCCACUCCUGGCACGCCACCAAGUUCUCCGACAGCCACCCCGAGACGCCCACCUGCCAGCUGUCCUCCGCCGGCGCCUGCCCGUCCUGGCACGGCCGACACCACGCCAGCGCCUCCUCCCAGGAUCUGUCGGGUGUGUGGGAGCCGACGAGCCUGCAGCGCACCUCGGACCACUUCAGCUCUCUGGGCAGCGUGGACAGCCUGGACCAGCCCUCCCAGCCCUCGCCCUCCGGCCGCCUCUCGGCCGCCAAGUCCAGCGGCAGCAUCGACCACCUGGGCGGCCCGAGCAAGCGGGACUCGGCGUAUGGCUCGUUCUGCACCAGCUCCAGCACGCCCGACCACACCCUGCCCAAGGCCGAUGCCUCGUCCACGGACAACAUCCUCUACAAAGUGGGCCUGUGGGAGGCGUCACGGCCAGGUGGCCGGCAGGACCCUCAGGGCCUAGAGGAGAGGCCCGGAGGCUUCCCCCCCAGGGGCCCCCUGGACAGCAGCAGGAGCCCCCGGCCAGAGGACGUGCCCGAGCCCAAGCUGGCCACGUCGGGGCGGUCCAGCUUUGGGCCCAUCUGGCACGUUCCCGAUAAGAAGAGGGCACCUCCUUCCCCCCCGCCACCGCCGCCCCCUCUGCGCAGUGACAGCUUCGCCGCCACCAAGAGCCACGAGAAGGCCCAGGGCCCUUCAUUCCCCGAGGCGGCCACCGCGCAGCACUUUCCUGGCCUGAGCCGGGCUCAGUCCCAGGGCGACUGGAGGGCAGAGCCCGCCGAUCCGCAGCGGAAGCUGGCACGCCCUGGUGAGCGGAGGCGGCCGGAGAGCUCGGGCUGUGCAGCGGCUGCCCCCCUGGACUGCGGGUGGCCGUCCAACCCUGGCGCCCCCAGCCGGCUCCACGCCUCUCUGUCCAGCACCGACGUGCGUUUCCCGCCAUCUGCCCACGCGUGCCAGCAUCAGCGCCAGUGCAGCGACGAGAGCCCCUUCCUCCACGAGGGCCUCAGGGCUGCCGUGGUGCCCAGGGGGCAGCCGCGUGGCACCCUCGCUGGGGCCCUGCAGGAGGCCCCCGCCCACAGCUUCCAGGACGCCAGCCCCACCCCGGCCAGGCAGCCCAGUGCUGCCGACCGGAAGGGGGACAGCGCUGGGCAGAGCCACCACCACUCCGUGGCCACCAGACAGGGCCCCCAGGGAGGCGCACAGGCGGCUCAGCCCCGGGACAGCUGCUGGCGCUGCAGCUCCCCUCUGGGGGCCCAUGCUUGUCCUGCCACACACCCGGCGGGCCAGAAGCCACGCUGUCACCCCCCUCAGCACCAGGAGUCCCUGGACGCCCACAAGGGGGAGCGGGGCGACCCAGGGGACAGAGGAUUGGAGGAGCCACAGAGAGCCCCGCCACGGCGACAGAGCCGGCGUGCAGAGAGUCGGCCGCCGGGGAGAGCGGCCAAGAUCUCGGCCCACGGGACGCCCCUGCUGCACUCGCUGACCCGGGAUGGGCCCCGGCCCGAGGACGGCCUGGAGGGCGGCAGGGAGAGGCCAGCGCCCUUCGAUGCCCAGGUGGGCAAAGCCACCCGGAGGAGCGACCGCUUCUCCACCACCCUCCGCAACGAGAUCCAGCUGCGGCGCGCCCGGCUGCAGAAGAGCAAGAGCUCCGUGGCGCUGGCGGCGCCCGCCGAGGCCGCUGGGGAGGCCGGCAGCUGGCGGGGGGCUCUGGGGGGGCCUGCCCCGGGAGCUCCAUUGCUGGGCACCUACAAGGACCACCUGAAGGAGGCCCAGGCCCGCGUCCUGCGGGCCACGUCAUUUAAGCGCCGCGACUUGGACCCCAGCCCAGCGGACCGUUAUGCAGCGUCCCGGGAACCCAGGGCCGGGGACCACCGCCCAGAUCUCGAUGCCGCCCCCCAGGGGGUGGGCCCGGCCAGGCCACCCUCAUCCGGAGGGGGCCCGUCCCACGUGGCCCGCAUUGGGGGCCGGAAGCGGUUCACGGUGGAGCAGAAACUGAAGUCGUACUCGGAGCCGGAGAAGAUGAAUGAGGUGGGGCUCUCGGGGGAUCACUGCCCCCGCCAGCACUCCGAGGACACCGUGGGGACGUUCGCCGACAGGUGGAAGUUUUUCGAGGAGACCAGCAGGCUGGUUCCGCAGAGGCCCAGGUCGAGGCAGGCGCUCCCUGGGGUCCCGAAGGAGAAGCCGGACAGGCCGCGGGCCACGCGCCUCGGGGACCAGGGCGCCGAGCCUCGGCCCCAGGACAGGGCCCGCACCACCUCCUUUGGAGAAAACGCCGAUGGUCCCAGGAAAGCAGGAAGGACCGGGAAAUCGGAACCGCCCCAGAGGCUCGGGACCUUUGCAGAGUAUCAAGCCUCUUGGAGGAAACAGAGCAAAGGCCCGGAAGCCAGGGGCUCGGGGAGGUACCACUCAGCUGACGACAUCCUGGACGUGGGCCUGGACCAACAGGAGAGGCUGCAGUAUGUUCACGAGAGGUCACGGUCAUCGCCCUCCACAGACCUCUACAAACAGGAGGCGCCCAUCGAGCCGAGGCGACAAGCGGAGGACCCUGGCGAGCACAGAGAACAUCCCUCCACAGUCCCGGCCGAGGAUGGGGGUCCCGCCCCGAGACAAGCAGAUGCCCAGUGUCCGGAAGACGGUCCAGGAGCACAUCGGGGCCUGCGGCACCCGGCCCAGGGGUCUGAGCCAUCUCGCGCCCCAGAAGCCCCAGAGGUGCCCCAGGAGGGCCGAGGCAGGGCGGGCACCCUCCCCCGUGAUUACAGAUACUCCGAGGACCACGCACCUGCUGUCCCACUGCCACCGCCAGGCCCAGGGUCACAGGCGCAGAGCGGCCUCUCGGCCCCGCACGCCGGGGGGCAGGACCCUCGGCCUGUGAGUGCCGCGCCGCUCGCCAAGAGACCUGCCCCGCAGAGGCCGCCACCGCCCAAGCGGGAGCCCAGGCCUUUCAGGGGACCAGCCAGUGCCACCCCCGCGGGCACCCCUGCGGGCAAUCACCUGGCUGUGCCCAGCAGGCCCCUUCCCCCGCCGCCAUCUCCCGCCCGCAGCCCCUGUGUCUUGGCGGAGAAGCCGAGCGGUGCCCAGCCCGCAGACGGCCCCAAGGCCCCCGGGGAGCAGGACAGGCAGCAUGUAGAUGAGCACCCAGCCUGUCCGAAGCGAGAAGCCCUGCUCCCUUCCAAGUUCCGGCCCCUGCAGACAUCCGCCAUGGAGACCUCGCGCUCCCCUUCUCCUCAGUUCGCCCCCCAGAAACUGACGGACAAGCCCCCCCUGCUCAUCCAGGAUGACAGCUCAACAAGCGCCUGGCUCUCUGUUGGCAGAAUCGAGCGGGUGAUCGACAACACCACGGUGAAGAUGGUGCCCAUCAAGAUCGUGCACUCGGAGAGCCAGCCCGAGAGGGAGAGCCGCCAGGGCCUGGCCCGCGCCGCCGAGCCGCCCGCGCUGCCCAGCGGGCUGGAGCGAGACCAGAUCAAGACGCUGAGCACGUCGGAGCAGUCCUACUCCCGCUUCUGCCUGUACAGCCGCCCAGGCACCGAGCCCCAGCCCCGGGCCCAGCCCCCCGCCGCCCCCGACAGCCGGGCCUCCCCGCCUGCGCUCAGCUACGGGAAGGCCAGGGAGAGGACCGCCGAGGACCUGAAGUCGGAGGAGCUGGCACGGGAGAUCGUGUGCAAGGACAGGUCCCUGGCGGACAUCCUGGACCCCAGCGUGAAGGUCAGGACCACCAUGGACCUGAUGGAGGGUAUCUUCCCCAAGGACCAGCAGCUCCUGGAGGAAGCGCAGCAGCGCCGGAAGCUGCUGCCCAAGGUCCCCUCUCCCAGGGCCGCGGAGGACAAGAGAGAGGAGCCCAGCGUGCCUUCAGCCGUGUCCCUGGCCACCAAUUCCGCGUACUACAGCACAUCGGCCCCCAAGGCGGAGCUGCUGAUUAAGAUGAAGGACCUGCAGGAGCAGCAGGAGCCCGAGGAGGACUCGGGGAGUGACCUGGACCACGACCUAUCUGUGAAGAAGCAGGAGCUUAUCGACAGCAUCGGCCGCAAGCUGCAGGUGCUGCGGGGCGCGCGGGAGAGCCUGCUGGAGGACAUCCAGGCCAACAGCACCCUUGGGGACGAGGUGGAGGCCAUCGUCAAGGACGUGUGCAAGCCGAACGAGUUCGACAAGUUCCGCAUGUUCAUCGGGGACCUGGACAAGGUGGUGAACCUCCUGCUGUCCCUGUCGGGGCGCCUGGCCCGCGUGGAAAACGCCCUCAACAACUUGGACGACAGCGCUUCUCCUGGGGAUCGGCAAUCGCUGCUCGAGAAGCAGCGGGUCCUCGUUCAGCAGCACGAGGACGCCAAGGAGCUCAAGGAGAACCUGGACCGCCGGGAGCGCGUGGUGUUCGACAUCCUGGCCAGCUACCUGAGCGACGAGAGCCUGGCCGACUACGAGUACUUCGUCAAGAUGAAGUCGGCCCUCAUCAUCGAGCAGCGGGAGCUGGAGGACAAGAUCCACCUGGGCGAGGAGCAGCUCAAGUGCCUGGUGGACAGCCUGCAGCCCGAGAGGAGCAAAUGAGCGGCCUCCUGGGGGCGGAGCCGGCCUGCGCACCGCCCCGGGCAGCGGGCCCCAGCCUGGAUGGAUGUCCCGUAGUGAGAACCCUCUUGUAGCGAUGUGGCUGUUAGAAAAGCGAUAACUCGUGUUUGUCUGGGGAGAUGCAUUGGGUGUCUAGUUUCCCUGUGGAUGCUGAGCAGAGCGGCUCCCCGUGGGGUGUUGUCCUUUACAAGGAGCCCCACGGGGCACGGGCCCUGGUGGCUGGCGAGCUUCUGCCAUGGAGACCACAGGCUCUGUCCCGUGCUGCACGCGAGGGCCCCUUGGCGGCGGUCGCUCUGGCUUCCUGUGUCUUCCGCUGCCAAACCAGCCGCUUGGGCAGCGCUCAGCGAGUCCCCAGAGUGCACAGGAGGGGCCACCUGGCGCACGCCUUCUCUUGUGAUCCACGAGAGGUGGCCUGCCACGUUUUAUGCGUGUCCGUCCCAUGCUGUUAGCGUUCACUGUCUCAUAUAACGUGCUCUCUGACCCAGCACAAACCUGUGAUGAUGAAGACGGUGAUAAUUUAUUAACAUAGUAGUUUCCAAGUGGUUAGAAACCAACUGUGAAAUGCAUAGCCUGUGUGUUGGGUCGCUCAUUCUAAAAGCGCCACUCGAGUCGUGUGCAUGCCUUCAAAGCCGCGCACCAAGCAGACAGCUUCAGUCCGUCCCACCCGGCGGCGCGGGUCAGGCGUGUUCCCGCAACGUGAAACGCCUGGUAAAAGCAUGCCCUGAAGGCCCAUUCCGUUUCCUAAGAGCCCGCCUCCGGACUUCCGGGGGUCCCUCUGCAACUUUGCCACAGAGUUGACGGAUCCCGGGCCCUUUUUAUUGGUUGACAUUGCAAGAUUCUGAAGAGUCUAUUCACUUAAAAGACAAACACUGUCAUGAUGUCAAUUUGCAGUUGACAAGUCAGGCUGGGAGAAAUGGUUUGCAAAUCACAUAUGUGACAAAGGAAUCAUCUCCAGAAUAUAUAAAGAACUCUGUACAACUCAACCGCAAGAAGACCAACAGUCCAGCUGAAACAGGGGCAAAAGAUUUCACCAAAGAGGACCUAUGCGUGGCACGUAAGCGUAGGAGAAAGAUGGUCAACCGCCAAUGGCUGGGUGGUAACUUAUUUUUACCUAAAUCACUGUGGAGCCGGUAUGUUUCUUCUCAGAUGCUCAGCUGAUGCAGCGCGUGCUUACUGGUGGGGAACCCCUGGGAUGAGUUCAUGUCAGGGUAGCGUGGGCACUUGUUGGAUGGAGGGGUUAUUUGAAUCCCGUUUCCCCUUAUUCCCUAUACAAGAAGUUUUCCAGCGGGUGGGGAGACCUCUCUGUCAGCAGUGACUGCCAUCUAACCAAACCACACACCCACCAGUGUCUUAGGACCACGGUCCACGCUUCCUGAGCCGGAGGCGGCGGUGAA